GAGUCCAACUUAAUCGAGUUGAAACCUCUCAACCUCACACAAAGGCUCGGGCUCCUUCCUUGUCAGACAGGUGACGUGCCACAUCCCUCGAGCCAGCUUCCGUAGCUGGGAAUCAGCCCGCCAAGGUCCCCCGCCUCCCACAUCGCAUCUGAUCCGCUUCCCCCUCCCACAAGUGGUGAGCCCAUGCUUUGGUUCACACACCACUAUGGCAAGCACCAGAUUUCGCCUCACAGUCCGCAUGUCAACAACCUGAAGUGUUUUCCAGACCGUCACAAUAACAGCAUGUGUUGAUGCCUGAAAUUCACUCCAUCGCAGCCAAGAUUCAAGAACUGUAUCGACAGACUGAUGAUUUCAUCUUCGGCAAUGUUAAACGUCUCCACCACUUCCCCUGGUUCCAGAACACGAUUCUCUGAGUAGAAAUCUCUCCUCCGUUUCAUCUCAUCUGCGAGAAGUCGAUAACAACAAGCUUGAGCAAUGACAUCAAGGAGUUUUCUGUUACAAAGGUGCUUUGUGACAUGAAAAUAGGGGCAGUCUUACCUUUGAAUAACCCCGGAACGAGCUUAUAUACUAUGUCUUGUAGAGUUUUGUCCGCUCUAAAUGGAAAAAAAACAAAAUUUGGAGUAACAAAUGUUAAUGAAUGAAUGAUAGUAAAUGUGAUCCUUGCUUGCUUACCUGAUG